rnacentral:ncRNA from 2 species
UUAUAUUGAGUGGAUUCAGGUGCCUGAAAGGGCUUAAAACGGGAACCCGGUUAAAGGCCGGGACUGUCCUCGCAACUGUAUGUGAAUACGAAAAGGAAGUUCCACUGUGCAAAUGCACGGGAAGGGUCCUUAGUAGGAUGACGCACAAGUCAGUAGACCUGCCUGAUCCCAGUGUUUCAA